CAGCUGAGCUGCCCAGGACCGUCCGAGAAGCCUGUGCGCCUGCAGUUUGGACACCUCCACCAGCCCCCGUCGGAGGCUCGUGGUGGAGCGAGAGGUUCUCAGGGGAGCGAUGUGCAAAGUCCCCGCUCUGGCUUCUACCCCGAGCUGCUUCGCAGGACAGGGGGCCUAGCUGUGCCAGCGCAGGAUUCUGGAAGCCCGGCCCUUGCUCCUCCCCGGGGUGGGGCUCCCUCUCCACCGCUGGGCUUAACGGAGGCCUGUUGGCUCAGUACUGGGGUGCAGAACUGAAUUCUGACCACUCUGCCUUUUCCACAGCCUGCGCUCACUGCCAAGGGUACGGUGAUGGCUUCCUGUGUCCUUUUGCACACUGGACAGAACAUGCCUCUGAUUGGGCUUGGGACAUGGAAGAGUGAGCCGGGGCAGGUAAAGGCAGCCAUUAAAUAUGCCCUCAGUGCAGGCUACCGCCACAUUGAUUGUGCUGCUGUCUAUGGCAACGAGAGUGAGAUUGGAGAGGCCCUGAAGGAGAAUGUGGGACCAGGCAAGGCAGUGCCUCGAGAGGGGCUGUUUGUGACAUCCAAGCUGUGGAAUACUAAGCACCACCCCGAGGAUGUAGAAGCUGCCGUCCGGAAGACACUGGCUGAUCUCCGGCUGGAGUACCUGGACCUCUAUUUGAUGCACUGGCCUUAUGCCUUUGAGCGGGGAGACAACCCCUUUCCCAAGAAUGCUGACGAAACUAUCCGCUACGACUCCAUCCACUAUAAGGAGACGUGGAAGGCUAUGGAGGCUCUGGUGGCAAAGGGGCUGGUGAGAGCCCUGGGCUUGUCCAACUUCAGCAGUCGGCAGAUUGAUGACAUCCUCAGUGUGGCCUCAGUGCGCCCAGCUGUCUUGCAGGUGGAAUGCCAUCCAUACUUGGCUCAAAAUGAGCUCAUUGCCCACUGUCAAGCUCGAGGCUUGGAAGUAACUGCUUACAGCCCGUUGGGUUCCCCUGAUCGUGCUUGGCACCACCCUGAUGAGCCAGUCCUGCUUGAGGAACCAGUGGUCUUGGCACUAGCUGAAAAACAUGGCAGAUCUCCAGCUCAAAUCUUGCUCAGAUGGCAGGUUCAGCGGAAAGUAAUCUGCAUCCCCAAAAGCAUCACUCCUUCACGAAUCCUUCAGAACAUUCAGGUAUUUGAUUUCACCUUAAGCCCAGAGGAAAUGAAGCAAUUAGAUGCUUUGAACAAAAAUUGGCGGUAUAUUGUGCCCAUGAUAACGGUAAGAAUGUGUAACCAUUUAGAGUCAAGGAACACGGAAUAGGUGACAUGCUCAGGCCUGCUUCAAUAGGAGCACCUUCAUAGGAGGUUUGGAGUGUGGUGGCCUAGGUCUGGCCUCAGGCCUGCUGCUUGGAGAAGAAUGUGGGUGGGAUUGCUACCCAAGGUGUAGCGUGUGUUUCUUUUCCUCCUUCCCUGUCUUCCUUCUUCUUUGUCUAUCUGUCUGUCUAUCUAUUUUGAGACAGGGUUUCUCUGUGUAGCUUUGGAAGUCCUGGACUCACUUUGUAGACCAGGCUGGCCUCAAACUCAUAGCGAUCCACCUGCCUCUGCCUCCUUGAGUACUGGGUUUAUAGUUGUGCACCACUGUGUCUGGCUUUUUGUACUUUUUUGAAACAGGGUUUCACUAUAUUGCCUUGGCUGGCCUGGAACUCAGAGAGAUAUGCCUGUCUGUGCCUCCUGAGUAUUAAAGGUGUGUGCCUUUGGGCUGGAGAGAUGGCUCAGUGGGUAAGAGCACUGACUGCUCUUCCAGAGGACCUGGGUUCAAUUCGCAGCACCCACAUGGCAGCUCACAAUUGUCUGUAACUUCUGUUCCAGGGAUCUGACACCCUUACACAGAUGUACAUGCAGUCAAACACCACUGUACAUUAAAAAAAAAAAAAAGUCUGUGCCAUCAUGCCUGGCUCCCCCCACCGUUUUUUUUUUUUUAACUUCUUAUUGAUUCUUGUGAGUCUCACCUUAUAUACCCCAGUCCCGCUCAUCUCCCCAUCCCCUCAUAUCCACCCUUUGCCCUUGGAACUCCCCAAAAUAAACCACACUUAACAACUGCAAUAACAAAUAAACAAUGCAUAGAGACCAUCUCACCGUGGAAGCUGCCGUAUGUCAGGUGUCCCUCUGCCCAUACAUCUUUGUUUGCAAAUGUUCCCUGCAGUGAGUCAUUGGUCUGGUUCAAGAUCUCUGGCUUCUGUAACACCAUCAAUGUUGGAUCCUCAUCGGGACUCCUCCUAGUUCUCCUGUUGUUGCCCUGUGUCAUGGAGAUCCUGCAGCUUUGGAACAGAAGGACUGGAAGUUUCACACCAACUCAGAGCCCUGGAUCUGGACCUGGGUGGUAGCUGAGCUGGUCAUUACGCUGGUUUUUCCUUACCUUACCGGGGUGGAUGGGAAGAGGGUUCCCAGAGAUGCUGGACAUCCCCUGUAUCCCUUUAAUGACCCGUACUGAGACCUUAUUUCUCAGCCUCCGUGUCAGCUCUUGUGCUAAGUAUUGCCUACUAUACCUGAGAAAGAAGAAGUCAAUAAAGCCAUUGGAGUGUA